AAACGACUCUCGGCAACGGAUAUCCCGGCUCUCGCAUCGAUGAAGAACGUAGCGAAAUGCGAUACUUGGUGUGAAUUGCAGAAUCCCGUGAACCAUCGAGUCUUUGAACGCAAGUUGCGCCCGAAGCCUUUUGGCUGAGGGCACGUCUGCUUGGGUGUCACGC
rnacentral:rRNA from 1 species